rnacentral:ncRNA from 1 species
CUUUCGGGGCGGGGUGAGAUUCCCCACCGGCGGUGAUGAGCUUUGUGCUUUAGUCCGCGACCUGUAUUUAAAAAUACGGCUGAUCCGGUGUGAUCCCGGAACCGACGGUAUUAGACUUAGGUCUUUAGUCCGGAUGAGAGAAAG